rnacentral:rRNA from 1 species
AGCGUCAAAAGGGCAUCCGGGGGAUGUCUUGGCGGUAAGAGGCGAUGAAGGACGUGGCACUCUGCGAUAAGCACGGGGGAGGCGAGAGCACCCAUUGAUCCCGUGAUUUCCGAAUGGGGAAACCCAUCUCCGAGAUGUGAGACUAUUAUUCAACUCCGGUUGAAUGCUGGUCUUACAUUUCAAUAGUGAGAUAUUUUACACUGAAUACAUAGGUGUUAAAAAGCGAACCCGGGGAAUUGAAACAUCUAAGUACCCGGAGGAAAGGACAGCAAUAGCGACUUCCCUAGUAGCGGCGAGCGAACGGGAACCAGCCGAGCCAUGAAUGUGAUCAGAAGGACCUGGAAAGGUCCGCCAUAGUGGGUGACAGCCCCGUAUGAGAAGCAUGAUUGGACGUAUCAAGUAGGGCGGAACACGUGAAAUUCUGUCUGAAGAUCGGAGGACCACCUUCGAAGGCUAAGUACUCCUUACUGACCGAUAGUGAACCAGUACCGUGAGGGAAAGGUGAAAAGCACCCCGA